AUCUGUUUUCUCUGCCCUUGCAGUACCUUUGUCUGGCUCUAUGGAGGAUCCUGGGUGACUGGUCAUUUUAUUAUGGCCUGGCACAUCUGAGAUCAAGUCACUCAGCUUGUCAACAUGCUCCCAGCAGAAAAACUUCAGUUGAAACCCUUCCUCUGGGCUUUGAAAUCUGAACGGUGUCCAACUCUGACAGAAGAGUGUGAUGAGAACCUCUCUCUGUGAUGUUGCCGUCUGAACAAUGCCCAAGAAACAGAAGGUGGGACCCACUAGACUGACACCUUUCAAUACUGCUUUCCAGUGAAGAACCCUGAAAGCCAGGGACUGAGAUGGGCAGAAUGUGAGGGAACCCACCUCUUUGGCCUAGGCUACUCCACACAGUCUUGGAACAAGGAACUGCUGUCCAUGGUCCUGUGUAAAUGUGAAGAAGCAAUCAGUGCACUGGACCAUCACUAUUGGGAUGUGGAUUAAAUUCCUCCCUGGAAGACAUACUUGAAAUGCAUUCUUCGGGGUGUCAGCCUUUUCUUGGUGCAUUAGAUCCCUGCUUGGAGCCCUAGUGUGAAAUAUGUGUGGCCUAACCAUUGUCACCGAGAAGGAUCUGUUCAGGUAAGGAAAACACUUUUCCUUCUUGCAGAGACAUAUACGGUGAGGGCCAUUGGGGCGCCAUCAAGUGGCCAGAGAUAUGCAGUCCCCAGGGAUCAAUUGGCCCCGCAAGUCCUGCGGAGAAUAAGCAGAGCUGCUGCAGUCACUGGAGGUGGUGAAGCAAG
rnacentral:lncRNA from 1 species